rnacentral:lncRNA from 1 species
GUCUGUUUCUGUUAAUUUUUAACCGCUGUUUAAUUUGGCCCUGAUCAAGUUUGGCUUUCUUUUUUGGUUGAGAUUUUCAGUAUUUAAGGAAAGCUAGUGGAAAGUGAUUUCAAGAAAGUCUCAUUACUGCCUGCCCCUCCUGUGAAAUCCUCAGUCUCUACUUACGGCCUUGUGACCACCUUUUGGCUUUUGUUUUGGCUGGGUUGUAUUUUUUUUUUUUUUUUUACUAUAUGUCUCUACGUAACAGUCAUUAUUAUGGCUUCACCAGGUUGUUUACCUCUUAAGAUGACACACCUAGGAAUUUGGCCUGAUUGUGCUAAUUAAAUACACAUUGAAAGUCAAACCAAGAAGUCAUCAGCCUAUAGAAAAGUUGAUUACAAUAACAAUGUGAUAAAAGGUUGUUUUGGAAUAAUCCCAGGUAGAUGCAUUCUAACCAGGCAUUUUAAAUCUUAAUUUAAAAAUAACUAUUCUUAGCUUUAUAAACUUUGUGGAUUUUAAAAGUCCUCAUUGUGGUCUUUUCAUUAAAUUUCUUACAUUUUGCCACAUGUCACCAAGCGAACAUUUGUGUAGGCAUUUACACAUAAACACAACCAUUACAAUAAGAUGCCCAAAAUAGCCUGUUAUCUUCCACGUGACCUAGAUUACUGACACUUUUAAAUAUAUAAUUUUUCUUCAAAGGCAGUACAUUUUCCUUUGUAGCUUCAAUUCCAUGUAGGACUUCAUACUGUAAAACCACUGUUAGUUUCCUUUAGAAACUCUGAGAGACUUUAAUAACAUAAAUUCUCAAUUUGGCUGCUGAACACGUGCCAGAGUUUUACUACCAUAGUGACCGUUGAGAAGACCCUUGUUUAUUUACAUCUGAAGCACUGUUUGUGCAAACAACCUUUCAUUGUUAAGUGCCUGUAUUCCUUUCAUUUACUUCAUGUCCAGGGGUGCUAUUUACCUAGAACCAUUGUCUACUACAAUUAACAUUUACAUUACAAAGUGUGUGGUUUUCUUUCUCAAGGAGGUUCAAUUAAGGCAAUAAGAUGUUUGCGGGGAAACCUAUUGUUUACUGAAAGCACUCAAUGGAGUCAAAUUACUGACGCUUUUGCCUACAUCUUGGUCUUUUAUGUAAAUAUGUUAAAUAUAACAUCUAAGGAAAAUAAACAAUAUUAUAAUUAUGUGUUUGCC